AACGAACGCUGGCGGCAGGCCUAACACAUGCAAGUCGAACGCGUCCUUCGGGACGAGUGGCAGACGGGUGAGUAACGCGUGGGAACGUACCCUUUGGUUCGGAACAACAGCGGGAAACUGCUGCUAAUACCGGAUAAGCCCUUCGGGGAAGAUUUAUCGCCAGAGGAUCGGCCCGCGUUAGAUUAGCUUGUUGGUGAGGUAAUGGCUCACCAAGGCUACGAUCUAUAGCUGGUCUGAGAGGAUGAUCAGCCACACUGGGACUGAGACACGGCCCAGACUCUUACGGGAGGCAGCAGUGGGGAAUCUUGGACAAUGGGCGAAAGCCUGAUCCAGCCAUGCCGCGUGAAUGAUGAAGGCCCUAGGGUUGUAAAAUUCUUUCGACGGGGAAGAUAAUGACGGUACCCGUAGAAGAAGCUCCGGCUAACUUCGUGCCAGCAGCCGCGGUAAU
rnacentral:rRNA from 1 species